AGGCGCGAAAACUUUACAAUGCUGGAAACAGCGAUAAGGGAACCUCGAGUGCCAGGAUACAAUCUUGGCUGUCGUAAUGCCUAAAAAGCAUUGCAUAGCAAGGGCCGGGCAAGACCGGUGCCAGCCGCCGCGGUAACACCGGCGGCUCGAGUGGUAACCGCUAUUAUUGGGUCUAAAGGGUCUGUAGCCGGCCAGAUAAGUCUCUUGGGAAAUCUGGCAGCUCAACUGUCAGGCUUUCAGGAGAUACUGUCUGGCUCGAGGCCGGGAGAGGUGAGAGGUACUUCAGGGGUAGGGGUGAAAUCUUGUAAUCCUUGAAGGACCACCAGUGGCGAAGGCGUCUCACCAGAACGGACCUGACGGCAAGGGACGAAAGCUAGGGGCACGAACCGGAUUAGAUACCCGGGUAGUCCUAGCCGUAAACGAUACUCGCUAGGUGUCGGCCACGGUGCGACCGUGGUCGGUGCCGUAGGGAAGCCGUGAAGCGAGCCACCUGGGAAGUACGGUCGCAAGGCUGGAACUUAAAGGAAUUGGCGGGGGAGCACCACAACGGGUGGAGCCUGCGGUUUAAUUGGAUUCAACGCCGGGAAGCUUACCGGGAUCGACAGCGAUAUGAAGGCCAGGCUGAAGACCUUGCCUGAUUAGCUGAGAGGUGGUGCAUGGCCGUCGUCAGUUCGUACUGUGAAGCAUA
rnacentral:rRNA from 1 species